rnacentral:tRNA from 1 species
GCUCCUGUCGUCUAAGCGGACUAGGACAAUCCCCUUUCACGGGAUUAAUGCGGGUUCAAUCCCCGUCGGGAGCUCCA